AGAGAGAGACAUGCGCGCAUAUCAAUAAGCGGAGGAAAAGAAACUAACUAGGAUUCCCUCAGUAACGGCGAGUGAAGCGGGAAGAGCUCAAAUUUGAAAUCUUCAAGGUUCUACCUUGACGAAUUGUAGUUUAAAGAAGUGUUUUCUGUUGGAGUUUUGGUAAAAGUUCCUUGGAAUAGGACAUCAUAGAGGGUGAGAAUCCCGUAUUUGACCAUUAUUUCCAGCUUUGUGAUACACUUUCAAAGAGUCGGAUUGUUUGGGAAUGCAGUCCAAAAUGGGUGGUAAAUUUCAUCUAAAGCUAAAUAUUGGCGAGAGACCGAUAGCGAACAAGUACCGUGAGGGAAAGAUGAAAAGAACUUUGAAAAGAGAGUUAAACAGUACGUGAAAUUGUCAAAAGGGAAGCGUUUGACACCAGUGUUGUUUUCUCGAAAAUCAAUUAAAAAGAGUUAGAUUUUGUUGUGUAUUGACCUUAUCAGCUUUGCAUUCAUUUUCUUGUCUUUUUUAAUGCACUUUUCGUUUAACAAGUCAACAUCAAUUUCUUUUGUUGUAAAAGAGUCAUUGGAAGGUGGCUUUCUUUUCGGAGAAAGUGUUUAUAGCCUUUGACUCCUGCAAUCGGAGAGACUGAGGUCUGCAGCGUAGAUCCUUCGGGGUUAGAUACAUUUGUGCUAAGUUAUAGCCUUUUAUAGACAACUUGUUGACUAUGAUUAGUCAUUGUAGCUUACUCGCUUAUGCUAUUUUACCUACGCUUAGGAUGUUGAUGUGAUACUGCGAGCA
rnacentral:rRNA from 1 species